CCUGAGAAACCCAAAAGAUCGAAUGGGGAGAUUCAUCGUCAGCUCAUUUUGUAUAUGUAUGAGUUACGAUGCGGGUUACUACUUGUAGUAUUGCCUGCACGUUCUUAUAUAUUUAGUUGCAAGAUGUUGUCGGCGUGCACUUCUUCCCUAGUAGGACGUCGCGACCCGUUGGGUGUCGGUCUACGGCCCAAGUGAUAGCCUUUAAUGUAAUUUAAAAAUCAUUGAAGAUCCUUGGUGUUUUCUGACCGGCUACUCGGCGGUACUCGUACGGUAUUUAGCCGCUAAUUCAUUAGCGUCCAUGUCCGUCACAAGCGAGGCCAAUUUACUGAUAGUGCGGACCUAGUGCCGUCGUUGGUAUUGGCCAGCUGUUGGUUGUACGUGAUUCUGGGACUGGCUAAAAUUAAUUACCGGUCGGCGAUGCUACUGCUUUGGGUACUUUCAGG
rnacentral:rRNA from 1 species